GAUGAACGCUGGCGGCGUGCCUAAUACAUGCAAGUCGAGCGAACAGACGAGGAGCUUGCUCCUCUGACGUUAGCGGCGGACGGGUGAGUAACACGUGGAUAACCUACCUAUAAGACUGGGAUAACUUCGGGAAACCGGAGCUAAUACCGGAUAAUAUAUUGAACCGCAUGGUUCAAUAGUGAAAGACGGUUUUGCUGUCACUUAUAGAUGGAUCCGCGCCGCAUUAGCUAGUUGGUAAGGUAACGGCUUGCCAAGGCGACGAUGCGUAGCCGACCUGAGAGGGUGAUCGGCCACACUGGAACUGAGACACGGUCCAGACUCCUACGGGAGGCAGCAGUAGGGAAUCUUCCGCAAUGGGCGAAAGCCUGACGGAGCAACGCCGCGUGAGUGAUGAAGGUCUUCGGAUCGUAAAACUCUGUUAUUAGGGAAGAACAAAUGUGUAAGUAACUAUGCACGUCUUGACGGUACCUAAUCAGAAAGCCACGGCUAACUACGUG
rnacentral:rRNA from 1 species